ensembl:miRNA MIR449B microRNA 449b
UGACCUGAAUCAGGUAGGCAGUGUAUUGUUAGCUGGCUGCUUUGGGUCAAUUCAGCAGCCACAACUGCCCUGCCACUUGCUUCUGGAUAAAUUCUUCU